AAAGAUUUUUGAUAUUUAAAGGAUUAUAAUCACUUGCUUAUACAUUUGUCACUAGCUUAUAGCUUUGUGUAAUAGCUGCAAUAGCUGAGAGAUAACGCUAUACAGAACGGUAAAUAAAUAAAUGAUCAAAUAUUUGAGCUAAGCAGUAAUGACACCUAAUAUUUUCAAUGUAUAUAAUUAUUUCUUACAAGAAGUAUUCGACUCCCAUACUAAAAAUUCACAAAUAUUUUUCUCCAAAUAGAGAAAUUGUUUAUAUUCUUGUAUUUAAAAAUCUUCUGCUCAGUGUUGAAAAUACACUACAGUAUAGUAAUUAGAAAGCUGCAUAUUUGUAUGAAAUGAUCAUUAUUACAUUGGUCAUUUACGCGGCUUGGUUUGAAAAUGAAAUAGAAUAUAACCAGUGUCUAAAACUAAAAUUAUACGUAAAAUGGCCAAUCGUAGUAUCGUAAUCUGUCACCGAUAAUAAUUAAACGUACGGCGCAAGCGGUUUUCCAGGCGCCGUUAAAUUGCACGGUUUAUCAAGGAAGCUGCUGCUUUGAAGGAGCUUUAACACACGACAUAUUCCCGUUACCGUAAAUACAGAUCGUAUAUAAUGCAUUCACCAUGCACACAUUUCCUUUUUCAUAGUGGACGGAUACACGGACUUUAAAUCGCCGGUGAAGAAAUCCGAGUAGCCCAACCGGAUUCUCGACAACUGUUCGAGAGAUGAAAAGGGAAAAACUGAUUUACCGACGAUCAGCAAAUACCCGUUAGACUAUAAUGUUCGCCUAUAUAUGUUACUUUUUGUCCAUCUUUUUCCCUUUGCAGCUGUAAAUGGCUAUGGUAAUUGAAUUUUAUUGAACUUCCGCAGAAUAAGAAUAACCAAAGUAGAAAAUUCCAAAAUAGGAAGUAUUUAGAAUAUAAAAACCGAAGAAGGGAAAGAUCCAAAAUUGGCAAAAUCCAAAAUCGAAGAAUCCGAAAUGGGAAUAUUCGGAAUAGAAAAAUGUAAAAAGGAAAGAUCAAAAAUAGAAAAAUAAAAAGUGAGUAAAUCUAACUCUUUAUUUUCUAACUAUGAUGAAAAUUCCCCAGAUUUACUUUCUUACAGUAGAUUACCUAACUUUACCCCCUUAAAUUAAAUUAGUCAUAAAUAAGUAAUAAAUUUUGAGUAAGUAACAAAAUAAUGAAUUAAUAGUAUCUCUACACUGAAUUCGCCUCUAAAGCCACCGACAGAAUGCACAAAUGGCAAAUGUGGUCGAACGCAGUCAAACACCCACGUUUGCAUAUUAGAAUGCAACCGUAAACGCGUGCACACUUCGUGGGUCGUGAUGGAAAAAGAACUUACUAGGUAUAAAUAAAGUGAUUUCUCACGGCGCAGAUGGAAAGUGCGCUAAGGGAAACGUGGGCGAGAUUUCACGUUAUCGAUUCUGAAAUCGGACCGCGCGGGCCCACGCUGAAUCGCGUAAUAGCCCGCCUUUUAUUGACGAACAAUAACCGGCUAGCUUUUUAUUAAUGCUCCAAUAACGGCUGCUUAGUCCACUUCUGUUCCUAGAUCUUCGCUCCGCUAGAACCGUAAUCUGGUUUCGCGUGCUUUGUUUUACCCGAUCCCUUUGCAUUCAAAUGUCUGAUGUUUCUAGCACGAUGUUUGUAUAUGUAUAUACACGUUUUAGAAUUUUGCCAUGGUACAGCAGUCGUGUGGAUAGAUAGGAUCCUUUGUUCUGGUUCUGCAGUUUGAUGCAACGUUAAUGCAUCAGACAAUUAGGAAAUCCCGAACAUUAAUUUAUGUAAAUACAGUGAAUUAUAAGUAAAUUUUUAAAUAUACAAUCUGUCCUGCAUUUUCUUAUUUUUAUUUAAAUUUUGAAGAAGAUAUUCAUUGAUUUAAAAAAAUACUUAACUCUUUGAAUUAAAAUAUUGCAGUGGAGACUUCAGACGUUGAGUUCAAACAACGAGUGAUUUAAGAAUACGAAUCGAGCGAUUACGAAAGAGUUAUUCGCACAGGCUUUAAGUAUGCAUGCUGUGUGCACGCACGUGGUUCUCCAGGAUACCGGUCCGAGAGUCGUGAACUGUUACGCGGCCCGCAAUCAACAUUAACACGCUCCCCAUUACGUAGGAUGAUAUUUAUCCGAGGCAAGACACUCGGUGUCGAACAAUGACUGCAGCUAGCCAUUUAACAUUAGAACGAAAAUGAAUCACAGUUAAUUUUUUAUUAUCAAAGUGAUAAAAUAUUAGAAAUUAAACCACGUUUUCUUUUUCAGCAUCUAAAUGUAUAAAAGAUACAUAACUAUCAAAAUGAAGAGGAAUAAAUGAAAUUUUUCAUUUUCUGGAGAGUAAUUUAUGAACUUUACUGAGUUAAGCAAAACAAGAAUUCUUGUUAAAUAGUGUAAAAUCUGUUGCAACGUUUCUAGAUUUUUGGACUUCACUGACAAUAGCAAAUAAAGUAGGAAAUAAAAAAAGUAAUAUAUCAAAAACUGUUUUAGCAAUUCUGGAUUUUUGUAUAUUAAUAUGCCACAUUAAGUAAAAAAUAAAUGAAAUAGUGUACCAAAAUCUGUCAGCAGUUCUACUUUUGAAAUUAAAUUACAGAUUCCAUUGAGCAUACCAAGCUAAAUAAAGAGUAAAAUAGAAAAGAAAAUAAUGUAUCUAAAUUUAUUCCAGCACUUUUAGACUUGUGGAAACUAAUCUACAGACUCCACUGAAGAUACCAAGUUGAAUACAAAGUAUGAAAGAGCAAAUAGUAUAUCAAAAGCUGUCACAGUAAGGUAUCAUGAUAUGAAGGCACUUUAGGCUAGGAAAUAAAUUGAAAAGCUUGAUUAAAAGCUUCUAUAACGAAGGUGUAGCCUAGGCUCGGGUUAGGAAGAGCGAUUUCCAUAGCUUUUGCAACGGAUCAACAAUAUACAUAUCUCAGUCGGCCGGUGGCGAGCUGGUUGCCAGGCAGCGAGUUUCGUCCAGAAACCGGAGAAGGGAAAAACAUUUACUGUUGCGUAAACCGAAUAUUCUGACGUGUACAUUAAAUAACUGUUAUGAAACAUCGCACUAUGGACAAAGAAAAUUUCUUCCUAGUAGAUUACUUGCGCGAGUUUUUAUGGAUCAAAUGCAAAGAUCGAGUUCAUUACAUUGCAAAUCCUCUUUAAUUUCAGUGCAUUACGAAUUUUUUGCAUUAGGCCCUGCCUUCCAAAUACAAAUCUAAUAGCCUAAUAUCUAAUGAUUAGUUAUAGAAUAUGCCAUCUUUAUUUUGAGUAAAAACCUGAGACACCCUAUAUGUGGGAAAUAUGUUGCUGCAGUUGUGUUCAGUGAAUUCUGUGUUACAAAAUAAGCGUUGAUUCCGGUUCGAUCGCUGUUACAAGAUUAAUAAGCACGCUCGUAAAUUAUCGUCGGGCACGAUACAAGUUGCGCACCACUGAUUUAAUGGAUGACUCUCCCGACCUGGUGUGGUAAUCACAGUAAAAAAUCUUUCGUUCGAACGAGCUUGGAUCCUUGGUAAUUUUGUCGUCAACAACACUCCGUGCUCCUCUGCCCUUUAAUUAUAUAUUACCAAGAGAUCUCGAAAAAUCCACGCGAAAAACGUGGCUGUCGUGAAAAACUAUGACGCUGCUUGGUUCAACGACAUUGUAGCUGAAUACGAUGGUUGAAUAGCGUGGAAUAAUUGGGCGAGAUUCAUUAUUUGUAUGGAAAUGGUACAGUUAGAUAAUAGACGGAUGUUUAUGCAAAUUUGUGUUAUUAUGAAUAUGAUUCAAAAAAUGGAAUCCAUAGAGCAAUUAUUUAUUCACUAAAUAUUAUUACAAGUGCUAUGAGAACUGCAGAAGAUAAACCUAUUUUUUUAAGUCCUCAACAUGUUAUGUACCGAUUUAAUCUUUGUACAAAUCCUCAUAAGAAAUGAAAACAAUUGAGAUUGUAGUGAGAGUUGUUAUCCAAAUUUUUGGAAAUCUUUUUACGGGAGGAAAACAUGAUGAGACACAUUUUGAUUCCUUUUUACAGGCGAGCUCUGUUGCAAUUCGUUUUAUAUAUCGAGCAUUGGAUUUUUCAAAUUUAAUACGUCAUUAAUUAACGCUAUCAAAAUGAAGCAAACUUUGAAAUUAACCUAAGUUCUUGAUCAUCUAUGAACUAUGGAUAUAACACGUAAACAUCUAUAGUAUAAUAAUAAAAAAUAGUAAAAAGAAUUCAAAAAUUUUUUACAUGACUAUAUAAUUAAAUGGUUAUGCAAUAGUUACGGAAUAAUUUUGAUAACAAUCAGACAUGAUCUGAUAAUCAUAAUUUGCAAUUUUCAUUAAAAUUCGGAGUGAGCUAUGGAACGAUAUCAAGGGAAGAAAACUCGUAAAACUUGUUAACGGCGGUAAUUAAAGUGGUUGGUGAAGAAGUCUGACACUAUUACAUGAACGGGAUAAUAAUUGCUUCAUAAUGAUAUUUCUGAUGAAGAUAAUGUUUCACGGAUAGUUGUUGCCACCUGUACUUUUGGAAUUUUUUUCCUUCUUUUCCAUAUUUUUGUGAGUAAUAAGCUUGCCUCAUCAUGCGCUGUAUGAUUUCCAGGCCAGCCGCUAUUUGGCACGUUUUCAAUAUUUUUUUCCAGUCAUGCUUGCUUAACUUUUUGUGUAUCAUUACUCUUCUUUCCCUCUAAAAAUUUAUUUCAUGCGUGAUUGUACGUGCACAUGACCAUGUUAAGUAAUAUAUACACGAGCAGAAUUUUUAUAGUGGACCUUAUACAAAGAACUUUCCUCGCCGAGUUUCUUACGUGAUCACAAAAAUUCCUUAAAAACUGUAUCUUCAUAAAAGCCAAGUAGAAUCUGACCCAAUAUAUUUUACAAACUAUCACAGUGAACAAAUAUGGGAAACAAGUCUCAUAAGAUAAAAUUGAAUGAAGUAAUAUCAAUUACGUUUCAGGCCUAACUAAUGAUUACACUAAAGACUUUUAUGCAUUCAUAUGACAUUUAAAAGUGUAAAAGCGUAAAGGAUACAAUUAUGUGCAAAAUUAGGGAAGUUCUUUAUUCUGAAGCAAGAGGACCAAGUGGAAAGGCAGAGACUGUCUAUUAGUGUACGAAAUAAUGCCACAAUGUACCGUAAGCCUUGGUUGAGCCUUCACGCAUGGUGGAUCGAAGCUGACAGGACAGGAGGAACAGGCAAUAGCACACGAUCGAUUCGUGGCUCGUUACAGAGAGCCUGGUCGAAAGUUCGAACGAGGCCCGUACAUUAAUAUUUCCGUUAUUGCGCGCACGAGCACCGAGGUUAUGCCUUUCACACAGCCCAGUAAUAAUACGGAAAGUGAUCGUUCCUCUCCCAGUCGGCUGAUCGAUCACGAUGCGGAUUUUAACGAGCCUUCAUCCGAUUAACGCCCCACUGAUCACGCAAACCUGACUUCAGCCUACUUUAUUAACUUUUUUAUGAUGCUACAUUAAGCAGAAGAUCGCACUUAGUGUUAAUAGAAAUUUAAUGGAUUAUAGAAGGACACACAUGUAAUUUUAAUUGCUAAAUGGAAUAUGUUUUUAGCGUAUAGGAUGAGAAUAAUUAAGGAAAAAACAAGUAUAAGCAGUUUGAAACAGGUUAGAGGAUUAGUAAAGUGGAAUUAUGGAUGUUGGACAGAUAGCGUAUGUUGGAAAAACCCAAGUGAUUAAUUAAUGAUUGGUUUAAAUGGUACUUGUGUCGGGAUAGUAAUAGAGCAAUUAGUAGUAGAAUAAUUAUCAUUCGAACAUGGGAUUCUGAGGUCUCUGUGGUUUCAUAACACUGCUAGAUCCAUUCAAUCUUGGACUUCCUUUCGAAGAAGUUGUUGAUCGACUCUUAAUACGGUACAGAUAACUACUGCACUCUGUUCAUAGAAUUCUUGCACUGAGACGUCUUCCACUUGUCAAUGUUGUAAACACAGACUCACAAGAAGAGACAUCUUUUCAAGUAUUUGACCUGUCGCAAUUCAAGCUUUAAAAUGAGAUAGCUAAAUGUACUAAAUUUUAAUCAGCUUGAACAACAAAACUAUAAAUUAGUUAAAUUAAUUGUCAAGACAAGGAUCUUAAAGAAUCAAAACAAGCCAUAAAUCUCAAUUCGGAAUAGCAUUCAGCUUCCAAUUUUACAAUCAAACCAUAACAAUAACAGCAAUAAUUCAAGA